GCUCGAUGUCAUCGAUGUCUUCCUCAUCAUCGUCUCCCUCAACCCUGGGGCUUCCUUGAAUUACAAAGAAAAAGGUGAUAAGGAAAGAUUACAAGAACUUGCAACCUUGCAUGCAAGAACGAAAAGUUCAUUCCGGUUGUGAGAACCAGCAACGAGUCCGGCGCUGGCUUCCAUUGGUGGUGCAGGGUGGCGGCAGUGGUGGUGGUACGUGGCGGUGAGCUAGGAUUUGAUGAUGUAGAGGUGUAGUAAUGGAAAUGCGAGUCUCCAUUGCCUUCAAGUUAAGCUUCUUCUGUUCCAACCACCUUCAAGUUAGGCUUCUCUCCCCCUCUCUCUCUCCCCCUUCCCAAAGACAGCUAACUGCAGAGAUUAAGAUUCAUGAAUUAUUUGAAGGGUUAAUUAUACUUAUCCCUUUAAAAAUGCGAAACGACUUACACCCUUUUUGAAAAUUUUUCGUUUACACCUAA